GCUUGGUUUUCAAAUGUUAUAAC
rnacentral:siRNA from 1 species